UGUUGCGAUGGGCCUCCUUUGCUCGAUGGGCGCCCCUGGUUGAGGUUCGUAAUGGCCUUCUUCUCAUGUUCUUCACCUCUCUUUUUGCUUCACCUUACUAAUUUCACCUGCUUUGAUUAGUUUCAUUCGUGCGCAGUUUGGUUCGCCUUGCCAUUGUUGACUGCGUCGAGCCAUGGAUCCUUCUAUCCUUACCACUGAGGUUAGUACACGCCGCUUCUGCUUGCCCAUGAGAUGUUUGAUGAAAUGUGCAUGUGCUGCUCGAUGAAAUCCGUAUGUGCUAACGUUUGUUCUACAGUUCAGGCUGUUUUUCUCGUUUGUCCUGCUGCGUUGCUUGCGUGCUUCUCCUUCUAGCUCGGAUAAAUAGCUUGUUCUUUUACUUCUCUGACCGGCGAGUGUUUCUUGCUUGCGUGUGUGUCGUUGCAAGCCAUGGUUAUGCUCUGACCGUUUUUUUUUCUUUAUGCUUGGCAGGUUGUACGAUCUUGUCCGUUGCUGCAUCUCCUCUCCGUUUUGCUCGUUGUUGCAUUUGCGUCCUGCUCAUCAAGGAUUGCUGCUCUCCGCUCUGCCUGCCUUCGUGUUGUACUUCCUGUAUGUGCUAUCAUAUUGUCGCCUGUAAUUGUUUUAAUAUGUAUUUCGGAUAUGGCCGGCCGUCGUGUGCUGUUCGUUCUUGUGUUCAUUAUAUCCCGUGCUCGCGUGUGAGCAGGAUGUGUGCGUUUGUUUCAGUUAUUGUACCUAUUUUGGAGGCCGUGGUGGCUCGUUGCGUCUGUGGUCACUUUUGUAUUUAUGUGAGGUCGCAGAGGAUGGGUCUGUCCUUACUGGGGUAGUGCUCGAGCUUCCGAGGGAUGGUUCUGGUCCAGUGCUACGAAGGGAGUUCUUUUGGAGCUCCGCCUGGUGUUGUUUCAUGAACGCCUAUGAACAGGAUGCUCUACAUGCCAUACGUAAUUUACAAGGUCUAUACAUUGUGUGCUAAUGUUGACCAUUUACGGCAAGGGUUAGGCAAACAUUUUAUCCUGUAGAAUGUGUUACCAGUUCUUAGCACACGCCAGUUAUUUAUUUUGCGUUUUUAAUGCAUCGCAUGAUUUUUUUUAUAACAAGGCAUCCUCCAAAGCCAUUCCACGGAAGUGGCAAGAGGCAGUUCUCGACAAAUCGCUAUAAGGUGUUCUCUCUAUACCUGUUGAUUUUUCCUUCUCUCUGGUUUUGAUUUCCGAUAUACAGUUUAUAUAAACACCACAAUAUGCCAGAUAUGAAAGAGAAAAGCGACAGAAGAAUCCAAUGGAAGAAUUUGGUGAAGAACAAGGUGCCUCUCUCUCUCAUGUGAACACA
rnacentral:lncRNA from 1 species